rnacentral:ncRNA from 2 species
GCCGUAUAUAUGAUUCACCUUCGUAUAUCCUCGAUAAUAAGGAUCGAGAGUCUCUACCGGGCCGCCGUAAAUGGCCUGACUAUGAAGGCAGGGUUCUUGAUG